GACGAACGCUGGCGGCGUGCCUAAUACAUGCAAGUAGGACGCAGUUGCGCACGGGUGAGUAACGCGUAGGUAACUACCUAUUAGAGGGGGAUAACUCUUGGAAACGCUAGCUAAUACCGCAUACUCGUAGAUGGACCUGCGUUGUAUUAGCUAGUAGGUGGGGUAAUGGCCUACCUAGGCAACGAUACAUAGCCGACCUGGGAGGGGGUGCGGCCACACUGGGAGUGCGACACGGCCCAGAAUCCUACGGGAGGCAGCAGUAGGGAAUCUUCGGGAAUGGGGGGAAACCUGACCGAGCAACGCCGCGUGAGUGAAGAAGGUUUUCGGAUCGGAAAGCUCUGUUGUUAAGGAAGCGGUACUUAACCAGAAAGGGACGGCUAACUACGUGCCAGCAGCCGCGGUAAUUC
rnacentral:rRNA from 1 species